ACGGACACACUGGAACUGAAACACGGUCCAGACUCCUACGGGAGGCAGCAGUGGGGAAUUUUGCGCAAUGGGGGAAACCCUGACGCAGCAACGCCGCGUGGAGGAUGAAGUCCCCUGGGACGUAAACUCCUUUCGAUCGGGACGAUAAUGACGGUACCGGAAGAAGAAGCCCCGGCUAACUUCGUGCCAGCAGCCGCGGUAAUACGAGGGGGGCAAGCGUUGUUCGGAAUUAUUGGGCGUAAAGGGUGCGUAGGUGGUUCGGCAAGUCUUGUGUGAAAUCUUCAGGCUCAACUUGAAGUCUGCACAAGAAACUGCCGGGCUUGAGUAUGGGAGAGGUGAGUGGAAUUUCCGGUGUAGCGGUGAAAUGCGUAGAUAUCGGAAGGAACACCUGUGGCGAAAGCGGCUCACUGGACCAUUACUGACACUGAGGCACGAAAGCUAGGGGAGCAAACAGGAUUAGAUACCCUGGUAGUCCUAGCCCUAAACGAUGAUCGCUUGGUGUGGCGGGUAUCCAACCCUGCCGUGCCGUAGCUAACGCGUUAAGCGAUCCGCCUGGGGAGUACGGUCGCAAGGCUGAAACUCAAAGGAAUGACGG
rnacentral:rRNA from 1 species